GUGAGGAAUAUUGCGCAAUGGAGGCAACUCUGACGCAGCCAUGCCGCGUGCAGGAAGAAGGCGCUACGCGUUGUAAACUGCUUUUAACCGGGAAGAAACCCCAGGACGUGUCCUGGGUUGACGGUACCGGAGGAAUAAGCACCGGCUAACUUCGUGCCAGCAGCCGCGGUAAUACGACGGGUGCAAGCGUUAUCCGGAUUCAUUGGGUUUAAAGGGUGCGUAGGCGGAGCGUUAAGUCAGUGGUGAAAUCCUGCAGCUUAACUGUAGACUUGCCAUUGAUACUGGCGCUCUUGAGUGCGCUUGAAGUGGGCGGAAUGUGCCGUGUAGCGGUGAAAUGCUUAGAUAUGGCACAGAACACCAAUUGCGAAGGCAGCUCACUAAGGCGAUACUGACGCUGAGGCACGAAAGCGUGGGGAUCGAACAGGAUUAGAUACCCUAGUAGUCC
rnacentral:rRNA from 1 species